rnacentral:misc_RNA from 1 species
UUUCCGUAGGUGAACCUGCGGAAGGAUCAUUAUCGUGCAACCCGGGGGUGCGAGGGCUGUCGCUGACUUUUUAAAAAGGUCGUGCACGCCCGAGUGCUCUCACACACAUCCACCUCACCCUUUUGUGCAUCACCGCGUGGGUUCUCCUUUGCUGGAGGGCUCACGUUUUCACACAAAACUCGAUACAGUGUAGAAUGUUAAUUUUUGCGGUCACACGCAAUCAAUACAACUUUCAACAACGGAUCUCUUGGCUCUC